GAUGAGAACGUAGUGAAAUGCGAUAAGUAAUGUGAAUUGCAGAAUUCAGUGAAUCAUCGAAUCUUUGAACGCACAUUGCGCCCGCCAGUAUUCUGGCGGGCAUGCCUGUCCGAGCGUCAUUUCAACCAUCAAGCCCCGGGCUUGUGUUGGGGACCUGCGUCCGACGCAGGCCCUGAAAACCAGUGGCGGGCUCGCUGUCCACACCGAGCGUAGUAACUAACCUCGCUAUGGAGUGGCGCGGGCGCCUGCCGUAAAACCCCCAAUUUUUACAAGGUUGACCUCGGAUCAGGUAGGAAUACCCGCUGAACUUAAGCAUAUCAAUAAGCGGAGGA
rnacentral:misc_RNA from 1 species